CCAUCCUGGGGCUGAAGUAGGUCCCAAGGGUAUGGCUGUUCGCCAUUUAAAGUGGUACGCGAGCUGGGUUUAGAACGUCGUGAGACAGUUCGGUCCCUAUCUGCCGUGGGCGCUGGAGAACUGAGGGGGGCUGCUCCUAGUACGAGAGGACCGGAGUGGACGCAUCACUGGUGUUCGGGUUGUCAUGCCAAUGGCACUGCCCGGUAGCUAAAUGCGGAAGAGAUAAGUGCUGAAAGCAUCUAAGCACGAAACUUGCCCCGAGAUGAGUUCUCCCUGACUCCUUGAGAGUCCUGAAGGAACGUUGAAGACGACGACGUUGAUAGGCCGGGUGUGUAAGCGCAGCGAUGCGUUGAGCUAACCGGUACUAAUGAACCGUGAGGCUUAACCU
rnacentral:ncRNA from 1 species